UACGUAGGGGGCAAGCGUUGUCCGGAUUCAUUGGGCGUAAAGAGCGUGUAGGCGGCCAGGUAGGUCGGUUGUGAAAACUGGAGGCUCAACCUUCAGAGGUCGACCGAAACCAUCUGGCUAGAGUCCGGGAGAGGAGAGUGGAAUUCCUGGUGUAGCGGUGAAAUGCGCAGAUAUCAGGAGGAACACCGAUGGCGAAGGCAGGUCUCUGGGCCACUACUGACGCUGAGAAGCGAAAGCAUGGGGAGCGAACAGG
rnacentral:rRNA from 1 species